rnacentral:rRNA from 1 species
GACGAACGCUGGCGGCGUGCUUAACACAUGCAAGUCGAACGGAAAGGCCCUGCUUGCAGGGUGCUCGAGUGGCGAACGGGUGAGUAACACGUGGGUGAUCUGCCCCUUACUUUGGGAUAAGCCUGGGAAACUGGGUCUAAUACUGGAUAGGACCAUGCUGUAGGUGGUGUGGUGGAAAGAUUAGUUUCGGUAAGGGAUGAGCUCGCGGCCUAUCAGCUUGUUGGUGGGGUAAUGGCCUACCAAGGCGUCGACGGGUAGCCGGCCUGAGAGGGUGGACGGCCACAUUGGGACUGAGAUACGGCCCAGACUCCUACGGAGGCAGCAGUGGGGAAUAUUGCACAAUGGGCGCAAGCCUGAUGCAGCGACGCCGCGUGGGGGAUGACGGCCUUCGGGUUGUAAACUCCUUUCAGCCAUGACGAAGCCCUUGUGGUGACGGUAGUGGUAGAAGAAGCACCGGCUAACUACGUG